CUUUGGUUGUGUCUCUAAAAUUUUGAGAAACUAUUGCUGUUUGUUGUUGUAGAAUAUAGUCGUGUUGUCUUCCAAUGGCGUUGCUGUUGCUAGUGCAGGAAUGACGCCAUUACUAUCCCUUUUAUUUUAAAAAGAUCUUUUGAAAUUGUGUUUUGUGUUUUGUUGCACUUACUCUACGUCUUUUGAUUGGUGUCUGAGUUCUCUUGUGACUAUUUCUUUGUUGUAUUUGUAGGUAUAGCUUUAUGUCUCAAUCUAUUAUUUAUGACAUGUCAACAAAAGUUUCUUCCUCUUUUCUAUCUUGGGUAGAUUCUUCUGUCCAUAUUCAUGCCCCCGUGAUUGAUAAAGAAUAUGCUGAGACAUUUUGUAGGCACCAUAGGCUUUGUGAGGACUGAAAAGAUGAGCGAAAUUAUGAAAUAGUAGUGUCUGAUCCUGAGGAGAGGGUAUGCUUUUCCCCCUAGAUAGGUCGGAAUGUCCCUUCUUUUACGCUUAUGACUGUUUUUUCACUAAGCUAAAUGUUAGGCUUCCCUUUUCUGACUUUGAGAGUAAUGUCCUUUGAACUUGCAACGUUGCUCCUUAUUAACUCCACCCUAAUUCUUGUGCCUUUCUCAAAAUAGACCAAUUUUUAUGUUGGGAGUUUGAUGUCCGACCUUCCAUCAAGGUUUUCUUUUACCUUUUUAUUCUGACCAAACCCUUUGGUUCAAAAAAGUUAGCUUGGCUUUUCUUUCGUGCAGUUCAGGGUAGGAAGGUUUUCUCCAUUUUUGACGAGUUAUUCUAUGAUUUCAAAAAUUAUUUCUUCAAAAUUUGAGCUGUAGAGGAGGCUUGACCUUUCUUCUUGGAUGAGAAUGAUGAGCCGUAUUUCUCGUUAUACUGGGAAGAGAAACCUGUGAUAGCCAAAUAUAGUGUAGAUGCCUUAGAUGAACUUGAGAAGAGUGUAGUUGACUUGUCUCAAGAGUGCUGGGGUCGGGCUCCUCACCUGGACACUAAAAAAUUCUUAGGGGACUCCGGCCAGCUUCGGUCCAAGCUAGAAAGAAUGGCUCCGAAAUCUGCUGCUAUGAAGAUACUACGGGCCACCAGAAAGAAGGUCGUGGCUUGUGAUAUACAACAAAAAGAGAUCGGGGAUAUUUCUGUCCGAUUGACAGAGGAAAACCGUUGGUAAAGAUUUUCACAAAAAUAUCACGUUGCAAGUAUAGUUCUAAACCGACAAUUAAAUCUCAAUCAAUAUUUAAAUUGUUUGUCACUUGAGCAAACCCAAUAAAAUUAAUCAAAGUAUUAAAUCUCGGGUCAUCUCUCAUGGAAUUGCAGGGAAGUGUAGUUAUUAUUGGUUAUGGGAAAGUAUAUUUUUGGGUUUUGAAAUAAGAAACAAGAAAGUAAAAAUGGUAAGAAAAUAAACUAAUAAAUAAUAAAGCUCUUAGAAAAGAUUGAGAAUUAGAAGUCAUAUCCUUAUUAUCGUUAUCAAUUGUGAUGGUAAUUGCCUUUUGCUUUCACUUAGUUAACCUCUAACAACGAAGGAAAGUCAGGUGAGCAAAACUAACUUAAGUUCACAAGUCCUAAUCAAGGAUUAGAUUUAGUGAAACUUAAGCCAAUUAGCAAUUUUCAAUCACCAAUCAACAAAAGAAUUUUGAUAACUCAAGAGUCUCUAAUUGAUCAAUCCAAGUUAAGAACAUAAGAAUCUAAUUUAAAAUCCUACCAAGCAUUUUAUCAAACACUUGGAAGGCAUAAAAUGAAAACAUAGAAAACUAACAAGAUAUAGCAAAAUCUAAGACUAACCAAAGCAAGGAAAUAACAAUAACAAAACAAUAGAACAAUAAGAAACAUGAAACAUAAAUUGCAUUAAUGAAAAUUGAGAGUAACACAUGAACUCAUAAACUAAAUUAGUAAAGCAAAGGAAUCAACAAGGGAAAUAAAUAACUAAAUUGCCAGAACAAAUGAGAGUAGAAGAAAACUAAAGUAAAGCAAGGUAGAAUUCUGAACCUAAGGAGAAAUUGAACUAAAAAUCCUAAAAUCUAGAGAGAGGAGAGAGCCUCUCUCUCUCUAGAAAACUACAUCUAAAACCCUAAAAAUUAUGAAUGAAAGUAUGAAUCAAUGAAUCCCCCCUUCCAGCUUCACUCUGCAGCCUCUAAUCAGUAUUUUCAGGCAUGAAACUGGGUCAAAAGAAGCCUAGAAAUCGUCCCCAGCGAGUUCUGUUAAGUGCAGCAUGUGACGCUCUAUCACGCGACGCGUCGUUGAAAAAUUCCUGGUCACGCGUACGCGUUGCUUGCCUCUUGCACUGGUCACGCUGAUCUUGCGACGCGCACGCAUGGGCGACGCGUACACGCCACCUAACUGCAAGGCAACUAUAGCAAUUCCUUUCUUAUGUUCCUUCUAUUUUUGCAUGCUUCCUUUCCAUCCUCUAAGUCAUUCCUGCCCUAUAAACAUUGAAAAUACUUAACAAACAUAUCAUGGCAUCGAAUGGUAAUAAGAGAGGAUUAAAAUUUGCAAAUUUAAGGCCAAAGAAGCAUGUUUUCAAUCAUAGCACAUAAUUAGGAAGGAAAAUGUAAAACAAGCAAAUUCUAUGAAUAAGUGUGAGAAUAAUGGAUAAAAUCCACUCAAUUCAGUAUAAAAUAAACUGUAAUAUAGCGGUUUAUCAAUCUCCCCACACUUAAACAUUAGCAUAUCCUCAUGCUAAGCUCAAGAGAACCAUAAGAGUGAAGAGGAAUGGUAAGACUUCUUAAAUGCAACCUAUCUAUAUGAAUGCAACUACAUGCAAAAAUGAUUCUAUCUACUUUGUUAAAAGUAAAUCAAAUUCUCCAAGAACAAUUAUAAACUAGAUUCCACUAAUUCAAAUCAUAAAAUGAAGUACAAAUAGACUUGCAAGAAGAAAGCUCGUGAAAGCUGGGAACAAAGAAUCGAGCAUCGACCCCUCACCAGAAGUGUAUACACUCUAAUCACUCUAGUGUUUAAGGUUCGAUUCUCUCAAUUCUCUACUAAUCUUGCUUUCUAAGACUUGCUCUUCUUCUACCAAUCAACAAAUUUUAAUGCACAAUACGCAUAUCAAGAGGUCUUUUAAGGGUUGUAAUGGGGUUAGGGUCAAGGUAGGAUUGUAUUUGGUCAAGGGGACUAAAAUCCGAAUCCUUGAUUAACCCAAACUUCCCACCUAACUUAAGACAACCCAUAUAAUCAAAAUAUGAAAUCUAACUACCCAUUAACUAUGUUUUCCACAUAUUCAUGCAUCCGAUUGUGAUUACAAUACAUAUGCAUUGCUAUCACCAUUUACUUUAGGGCAUUUUAUCCCCUUUUAUUAUUUGCUCUUUUUCUUCUUUUCUUUUUUUUUUCUUUUUUUUUUCUUUUCUUUUGUUUUUUCUCAAUGCAUAUGAUUAAGUUAUUGAAUGCAAGAAUAUGUGCUUAACUAUCUUUUUCACAAAUUCACCAAAAAUAUACAACACUCAAUUCCCAAUCCAAAUAUUUUCAAACCCAAUUUUUCCACACUUAAUUUAUGUGCACUCUCACUAGUCUAAGCUAACCAAGGAUUCAAAUUAAGGACAUUAUUUUUUCUGCUUAGAGUUAAUGAUGUGCUAAAGUAAAGAACGAAUCAGGUAAAAUAGGCCCUGCAUUCGUUUGCAAAGGAUAAUGAAAGGGUAAGGCCAUAUGGGUAUGUAAGCUCAGGAAAACAAAGGCCUCAAUCACAUAAGUGCAUGCAUACAUCAAACAAUGAAAAUAUAGAAUCAAGCAAGACAAAGAUCACAAUUUUAGAGAGAACAAAACACACCAAAAUAGAACAUUGGUUGAUAAAAUACAACCAAUCAAAUAGGUUCAAAAUCUCACUGGUUUUGUGUGUUCGAGCUCUAAACCAUGUUCCAAAAUAAAUUUCUUCAAGCAAGUUCAACAAAAAUUUUAAUUCAAAUUCGUAAAAUGCUAUAAAAUAGUUUCUUGGAAAAGAAUUCAUUACUUCAACCAAGUAAGACAUAAAUGCAAGCAACUAAUUACACAUGCAAUCUAUCAUGCAAUGCAACAACUCAGUAACAAAGAAAACUAAAUACUGGUGUUGAAAAGAAAGUAACUAACCCACGGAAGUCGGUAUCGACCUCCCCACACUUAAAGAUUGCACCGUCCUCGGUGCAUGCAAAGAUGUGCAAGUGGACGGGCUGCUACAACUGCGGAGUUUCUUCAAAAAAUUGUGCAGAGUGACUUAUUGUCUGCCCCCUUCAGAGGUCUUCCGUUUUUCUUCUUGGUGGCCAUCCUGAAAGAAGAGAAAAAGGAAGAAGAAUAACCCCACAAACAAAGAUAUGAAAACAAAUAAAGUCUAGGUAUGCUAAUGCCAGAUGAUAAUAAGGUUCUCAACUACAUGGUAGCUACAACAUGCAAUUGAGAGAACAAUAUAAGCAAAUGGCACAUCAACAGUGCAAGAAUUCCAACAAUGAGAGAGAGAGAGAGAGUGUGGGUCAUAAAAGACAAUAUAAGUUCAUAUCAAUGCACAAGGAAUACAAGUGUCAUAAAAGAUUAGCAUUAACCUAUAAAUAAUAUCACCCAACAAUAUAAAACAAGUCACUAAGCACCAAAAUAAUGCCAGAAAGAUGCAACAGUUGAAUAAGAACAUUUAACACUAAUGGAAAAAUAAUAAACUUAAAAAAGAAAAUAAAAACAUGCAGAAAGUUAAAAUGCAAUGAAUGAAAAUAUGCAAAUGAAUUAAGUAAAAGAGAAUAAGGAUUAGAAGUUAAAGAAAUGAAGAAGAAGGAAGUAAGAAAGGAAGAAGAAAAGGAAAAAGAAAGUAAAUAGGAAAGAAUAAGAAAGGAGAGAAGAAGAGAGAAAAAAUGGAAAACAGAAAGCGAACGCGACGCGUACGCGUGGGUUGCUGAUAAACCCCGUUUUUAGGGUUUAUCUUGUGGUGAAUUUAGAGCAUUUUGUUAAUCUUUUCUCACAUUUAUUCAAUAAAAUAGCAUAGUUUCAUUAUUUUUUCCUAAUUUGUGCUCAAGUGUGAAAACAUGUUUUUGGAUCCUUGAUUUUUAAUAAUUUUAAUCUUCCUUUGAUUCCACUAGAUGUCUUGAUGUGUUUGCUAGUGAUUUCAGAUUAAAAAGGGCUAGGAAUGGACCAAAGGAAUGAAGAGAAAGCAUGUAAAGUGGAGAAAUCAUGAAAAACCAAAGAUUUGGGAUACGCCUAUGGACGCGCGCGCGCACUAGACUCAUAUGCGUGGAUCGCGUAAAACACCAUGGACGCGUACGCGUCGACGCUAGCACGUGAUUUUUAAAGAGAAAACAUGCCCAGCGAUUUCACAGAGUUGUGGGGCCCAGUUUGGAACCAACUUUGGCGCCAAAAUGCUUAAAAGGACCAAGGAUUGAAGGGGAAGGCACCUUAGAACAUAACACAAUUUAGAUCUAGUUUUAGAGUUAGUUUUCUAGAGAGAGAAGCUCUCUCUUUUCUCUAGAAUUAGGAUUAGGUUUAUGUUAGAAUUUCUUAGAUCUAGGUUUUAAUCUUUGCUUUCAUCUACUUUUACCUUUCAAUUCUAUGUUUCUAUAUCUUGUUCUUCUAUUCUCUUGUUGCAAUUCCUUCUAUUUUGCUUCCAUGCUUUGUAAGUGAUCUAUUCUUGUUCUUCUUAUUUCCUUUUAAUGCAAUUUGAGGUAAUUCUUGU